rnacentral:rRNA from 1 species
GGCGCACGGGUGCGUAACACGUGGGUAAUCUGCCCUUCGAUGGGGAAUAACUCCGGGAAACCGAAGCUAAUUCCGCAUAACAUUCCUUGAACUUCGGUUUGGGGAUUCAAAGCCGUAAGGCGUCGGAGGAGGAACCCGCGCACGAUUAGCUAGUUGGUAGGGUAACGGCCUACCAAGGCUUUGAUCGUUAGCUGGUCUGAGAGGAUGAUCAGCCACAUUGGGACUGAGACACGGCCCAAACUCCUACGGGAGGCAGCAGUGGGGAAUAUUGGACAAUGGGCGCAAGCCGGAUCCAGCCAUGCCGCGUGAGUGAUGACGGCCUUAGGGUUGUAAAGCUCUUUCGCUCGGGACGAUAAUGACGGUACCGAGAUAAGAAGCCCCGGCUAACUUCGUGCCAGCAGCCGCGGUAAUACGAAGGGGGCUAGCGUUGUUCGGGAUUACUGGGCGUAAAGCGCGUGUAGGCGGGUCUUUAAGUCAGGGGUGAAAUGCCAAGGCUCAACCUUGGAACUGCCUUUGA